GGCCAUCGCUCAACGGAUAAAAGGUACUCCGGGGAUAACAGGCUGAUACCGCCCAAGAGUUCAUAUCGACGGCGGUGUUUGGCACCUCGAUGUCGGCUCAUCACAUCCUGGGGCUGAAGUAGGUCCCAAGGGUAUGGCUGUUCGCCAUUUAAAGUGGUACGCGAGCUGGGUUUAGAACGUCGUGAGACAGUUCGGUCCCUAUCUGCCGUGGGCGCUGGAGAACUGAGGGGGGCUGCUCCUAGUACGAGAGGACCGGAGUGGACGCAUCACUGGUGUUCGGGUUGUCAUGCCAAUGGCACUGCCCGGUAGCUAAAUGCGGAAGAGAUAAGUGCUGAAAGCAUCUAAGCACGAAACUUGCCCCGAGAUGAGUUCUCCCUGACCCUUUAAGGGUCCUGA
rnacentral:rRNA from 1 species